rnacentral:rRNA from 1 species
UACGUAGGGUCCGAGCGUUGUCCGGAAUUAUUGGGCGUAAAGAGCUCGUAGGCGGUUUGUCGCGUCUGCCGUGAAAGUCCGGGGCUCAACUCCGGAUCUGCGGUGGGUACGGGCAGACUAGAGUGAUGUAGGGGAGACUGGAAUUCCUGGUGUAGCGGUGAAAUGCGCAGAUAUCAGAAGGAACAUCAGUGGCGAAGGCGGCUUUCUGGACCAAUACUGACGAUCAGGUGCGAAAGCGUGGGGAGCAAACAGG